AUUGAACGCUGGCGGCAGGCCUAACACAUGCAAGUCGAGCGAGCGGCGGACGGGUGAGUAAUGUAUGGGGACUGCCCGAUAGAGGGGGAUAACUACUGGAAACGGUAGCUAAUACCGCAUACUAUCGGAUAACCCAUAUGGGAUUAGCUAGUAGGUGAGGUAAUGGCGCACCUAGGCGACGAGCCCUAGCUGGUCUGAGAGGCUGAUCAGGCAAACUGGUAUUGUGACACGGCCCAGACCCCUACGGGGGCAGCAGGGGGGAAUAUUGCACAAUGGGCGCUAGCCUGAUGCAGCCAUGCCGCGUGUAUGAAGAAGGCCCUAGGGUUGUAAAGUACUUGCAGUCGGGAGGCGUUACCGACAGAAGAAGCACCGGCUAACUCCGUGCCAGCAGCCGCGGUAAUAC
rnacentral:rRNA from 1 species